rnacentral:rRNA from 1 species
GCUGGAGGUAUCAGAAGUGCGAAUGCUGACAUAAGUAACGAUAAAGCGGGUGAAAAGCCCGCUCGCCGGAAGACCAAGGGUUCCUGUCCAACGUUAAUCGGGGCAGGGUGAGUCGACCCCUAAGGCGAGGCCGAAAGGCGUAGUCGAUGGGAAACAGGUUAAUAUUCCUGUACUUGGUGUUACUGCGAAGGGGGGACGGAGAAGGCUAUGUUGGCCGGGCGACGGUUGUCCCGGUUUAAGCGUGUAGGCUGGUUUUCCAGGCAAAUCCGGAAAACCAAGGCUGAGGCGUGAUGACGAGGCACUACGGUGCUGAAGCGACAAAUGCCCUGCUUCCAGGAAAAGCCUCUAAGCAUCAGGUAACAUCAAAUCGUACCCCAAACCGACACAGGUGGUCAGGUAGAGAAUACCAAGGCGCUUGAGAGAACUCGGGUGAAGGAACUAGGCAAAAUGGUGCCGUAACUUCGGGAGAAGGCACGCUGAUAUGUAGGUGAAGCGACUUGCUCGUGGAGCUGAAAUCAGUCGAAGAUACCAGCUGGCUGCAACUGUUUAUUAAAAACACAGCACUGUGCAAACACGAAAGUGGACGUAUACGGUGUGACGCCUGCCCGGUGCCGGAAGGUUAAUUGAUGGGGUUAGCGGUAACGCGAAGCUCUUGAUCGAAGCCCCGGUAAACGGCGGCCGUAACUAUAACGGUCCUAAGGUAGCGAAAUUCCUUGUCGGGUAAGUUCCGACCUGCACGAAUGGCGUAAUGAUGGCCAGGCUGUCUCCACCCGAGACUCAGUGAAAUUGAACUCGCUGUGAAGAUGCAGUGUACCCGCGGCAAGACGGAAAGACCCCGUGAACCUUUACUAUAGCUUGACACUGAACAUUGAGCCUUGAUGUGUAGGAUAGGUGGGAGGCUUUGAAGUGUGGACGCCAGUCUGCAUGGAGCCGACCUUGAAAUACCACCCUUUAAUGUUUGAUGUUCUAACGUUGGCCCGUAAUCCGGGUUGCGGACAGUGUCUGGUGGGUAGUUUGACUGGGGCGGUCUCCUCCUAAAGAGUAACGGAGGAGCACGAAGGUUGGCUAAUCCUGGUCGGACAUCAGGAGGUUAGUGCAAUGGCAUAAGCCAGCUUGACUGCGAGCGUGACGGCGCGAGCAGGUGCGAAAGCAGGUCAUAGUGAUCCGGUGGUUCUGAAUGGAAGGGCCAUCGCUCAACGGAUAAAAGGUACUCCGGGGAUAACAGGCUGAUACCGCCCAAGAGUUCAUAUCGACGGCGGUGUUUGGCACCUCGAUGUCGGCUCAUCACAUCCUGGGGCUGAAGUAGGUCCCAAGGGUAUGGCUGUUCGCCAUUUAAAGUGGUACGCGAGCUGGGUUUAGAACGUCGUGAGACAGUUCGGUCCCUAUCUGCCGUGGGCGCUGGAGAACUGAGGGGGGCUGCUCCUAGUACGAGAGGACCGGAGUGGACGCAUCACUGGUGUUCGGGUUGUCAUGCCAAUGGCACUGCCCGGUAGCUAAAUGCGGAAGAGAUAAGUGCUGAAAGCAUCUAAGCACGAAACUUGC